rnacentral:rRNA from 1 species
AUUGAACGCUGGCGGCAUGCCUUACACAUGCAAGUCGAACGGUAACAGGCCGCAAGGUGCUGACGAGUGGCGAACGGGUGAGUAAUGUAUCGGAACGUGCCCAGUCGUGGGGGAUAACUGCUCGAAAGAGCAGCUAAUACCGCAUACGACCUGAGGGUGAAAGCGGGGGAGUCGCAAGACCUCGCGCGAUUGGAGCGGCCGAUAUCAGAUUAGGUAGUUGGUGGGGUAAAGGCCCACCAAGCCAACGAUCUGUAGCUGGUCUGAGAGGACGACCAGCCACACUGGGACUGAGACACGGCCCAGACUCCUACGGGAGGCAGCAGUGGGGAAUUUUGGACAAUGGACGCAAGUCUGAUCCAGCCAUGCCGCGUGCGGGAAGAAGGCCUUCGGUUGUAACCGCUUUGUCAGGGAAGAAAGGUUCCUUCUAAUACAGGGACUCAUGACGGUACCUGAAGAAUAAGCACCGGCUAACUACGUGCCAGCAGCCGCGGU